UACGAGAGGUGCUAGCGUUAUUCGGAAUUAUUGGGCGUAAAGGGUGCGUAGACGGCAUACUAAGUCAACUGUUAAAUUCCCUGGCCUAACUGGGGGCAAGCGGUAGAAACUGAUAUGCUAGAGGGUGGAAGAGAGAAGUGGAAUUCUCGGAGUAGCGGUAAAAUGCGUAGAUCUCGAGAGGAACACCGAUGGCGAAGGCAGCUUCUUGGUCCAUACCUGACGUUGAGGCACGAAAGCGUGGGGAGCAAACAGG
rnacentral:rRNA from 1 species